AGAAAGUUAGUCUAACAAAGACAGUUGGUUUCGGCCCAACAGAUUAUAGCCAUUACCUAUAACUUUCUC
rnacentral:tRNA from 1 species